rnacentral:misc_RNA from 1 species
GAUGAAGAACGUAGCGAAAUGCGAUAAGUAAUGUGAAUUGCAGAAUUCAGUGAAUCAUCGAAUCUUUGAACGCACAUUGCGCCCCCUGGCAUUCCGAAGGGUAUGCUCGUUUGAGUGUCAUUGUACUCUCACACUUCCAAUCUUUGGAUUGGGAGCAGUGGACUUGGGUGUUGCUGCUUACUGUGGCUCACCUCAAAUCGAUUCGUGCACCUCUUGGUUGGACAUAGUACGGCGUGAUAAGUGUCUUCGCCGGCACCUCAGUAGAGGGUGGCUGAUCAGGAGCUCUGUGCUUCAAACCGUCCUCGGACAAAAACUGACAACUUGACCUCAAAUCGAGUAGGACUACCCGCUGAACUUAAGCAUAUCAAUAAGCGGAGGA